UACGUAGGUGACAAGCGUUGUCCGGAUUUACUGGGCGUAAAGAGCGCGCAGGCGGUCGUUCAAGUCGAGUGUGAAAGCCCCCGGCUCAACUGGGGAGGGUCAUUCGAUACUGAUCGACUCGAAGGCAGGAGAGGGUAGUGGAAUUCCCGGUGUAGUGGUGAAAUGCGUAGAUAGUCGGGAGGAACACCAGUGGCGAAGGCGACUACCUGGCCUGUUCUUGACGCUGAGGCGCGAAAGCUAGGGGAGCAAACGGG
rnacentral:rRNA from 1 species